UGGUGGUGUAGCUCAAUUGGUAGAGCGGCAGAUUUUUAAUCUGUGCGUUACUGGUUCGAAUCCAGUCACCAUAGCCA
rnacentral:tRNA from 1 species